AGUUUGAUCCUGGCUCAGAUUGAACGCUGGCGGCAGGCUUAACACAUGCAAGUCGAGCGGUAACAUUUCUAGCUUGCUAGAAGAUGACGAGCGGCGGACGGGUGAGUAAUACUUAGGAAUCUACCUAGUAGUGGGGGAUAGCACGGGGAAACUCGUAUUAAUACCGCAUACGACCUACGGGAGAAAGGGGGCAGUUUACUGCUCUCGCUAUUAGAUGAGCCUAAGUCGGAUUAGCUAGAUGGUGGGGUAAAGGCCUACCAUGGCGACGAUCUGUAGCUGGUCUGAGAGGAUGAUCAGCCACACCGGGACUGAGACACGGCCCGGACUCCUACGGGAGGCAGCAGUGGGGAAUAUUGGACAAUGGGGGAAACCCUGAUCCAGCCAUGCCGCGUGUGUGAAGAAGGCCUUUUGGUUGUAAAGCACUUUAAGCAGUGAAGAAGACUCCAUGGUUAAUACCCAUGGACGAUGACAUUAGCUGCAGAAUAAGCACCGGCUAACUCUGUGCCAGCAGCCGCGGUAAUACAGAGGGUGCAAGCGUUAAUCGGAAUUACUGGGCGUAAAGGGAGCGUAGGUGGCUCGAUAAGUCAGAUGUGAAAUCCCCGGGCUCAACCUGGGAACUGCAUCUGAUACUGUUGAGCUAGAGUAUGUGAGAGGAAGGUAGAAUUCCAGGUGUAGCGGUGAAAUGCGUAGAGAUCUGGAGGAAUACCGAUGGCGAAGGCAGCCUUCUGGCAUAAUACUGACACUGAGGCUCGAAAGCGUGGGUAGCAAACAGGAUUAGAUACCCUGGUAGA
rnacentral:rRNA from 1 species